rnacentral:lncRNA from 1 species
GUACAAAGUUACAGAACAGAAAAACACUUAGUUGCAAUCUACAGUGGGCUCCUCAGCAAUGGGAGUCGAGGUUAUCUGGCCCCUUUUGUUGUAGAGUCCUUCUUUUUGGUAUGCGGGACAAGCACCGUACGAAGCUGGCACCACUGGCUACUGUUUCCUUUGCUAUAACCAGCAUGGGACCUGGAACAUGUGCCCCACAGAUCUGAGGACUGAUGGAGCUAACUGAUGACUGGUGUCUGGGAAGGCAGCAUGUUUGCCACCCUGUUCUCACUUCUGAAGGAGCUGAAAGAUUUAGUUUCCAAAGCCUCUGGCCAGAUCACACUCCCCCUCCCCCCAAGUGAAUGCCUGGGAAUCAUCUCUUUCUCACAGACAGGAAGCCGUUAUCUCACCAUGAAGACUUGGCAGCAAAGACUGGUAAAGAGGAAAGAACAAACUGGGAGUCAGUUUUCCAUUUGAUAAAUGUAUUCGCU